rnacentral:lncRNA from 1 species
UGAGCAAGCAGAGCUGGACAGUGAAUGCUACAGUAGGCCGGAGCUGCCCGCACCACGGACAGACUGGUCCCUGAGUGACUUGGAGCAGUGGGACCGCACCACCUUGUACGAUGCUGUUAAGGGCUUCCUGCUGGCAUUGCCUGCAGCUGUGGUGACUCCUGAGGCUGCAUCGGAGGCUUAUCGGGCGAUGCGGGAGGUUACGGGGCCUGUGGGGCUGGUGCUGGAACCCCCAACGCUGCCGUUGCACCAGGCCCUCACUCUGCAGUUCCUGCUGCAGCACCUGGGCCGCGUGGCCCGCAGAGCACCCUCACCAGCUACAGCUGUCCACGCACUGGCCAGUGCCUUCGGGCCGCUGCUGCUGCGUGCGCCUCCGCCAGGGGGCGAGGGUGAUGGGUGAGUGGGUGGGGCUGUGAAGAGGCGUGGUUUGGUGGGCGUGGUCGUCACUGUAGGCUGGGUCCCAGAAAUGAUGGAAGGAGAAAAAGUAGUUUUCCUGGAUGGGAGGAACUAGGCAGGACCAAAAGUUUUGGGGUCUUUAAGAGCAGUGGGGCCAAGGAAGGCCUCUUUAUAGAGUACAAACAACAGGGUCUAAGCCAAGGGCAGCAGGGGUGGCAGCACAUGGACAAGGCUUUCACUGUGGAGUGGAACCCUGCUGGGGGCGGUCUGAGGGGGGAGAAAGCCAGGAUCUGGGUCCAUCAAGCCUGCGAUGGGCACGAUUUUACUUUCUGUUUUCCUCCCGG